rnacentral:rRNA from 1 species
UACGUAGGGGGCAAGCGUUGUCCGGAUUUAUUGGGCGUAAAGAGCGUGUAGGCGGCUUGGUAGGUCCGCUGUGAAAACUCGAGGCUCAACCUCGAGAUGUCGGCGGAAACCACUUGGCUAGAGUCCGGAAGAGGAGAGUGGAAUUCCUGGUGUAGCGGUGAAAUGACGCAGAUAUCAGGAAGAACACCUAUGGCGAAGGCAGCUCUCUGGGACGGUACUGACGCUGAGACGCGAAAGCGUGGGGAGCGAACAGG